AUUGAACGCUGGCGGUAUGCUUAACACAUGCAAGUCGAACGGUAACAGGUCAACAAUCCUUUCGGGGUGAGUUGAUGCUGACGAGUGGCGGACGGGUGAGUAAUAUAUAGGAAUCUACCUUAGAGUGGGGGAUAACCCGGGGAAACUUGGGCUAAUACCGCAUAUUCUCUACGGAGUAAAAGGGGCCUCUGCUUGCAAGCUCUUGCUCUAAGAUGAGCCUAUAUCGGAUUAGCUAGUAGGUUGGGUAAAGGCUGACCUAGGCAACGAUCCGUAGCUGGUCUGAGAGGAUGACCAGCCACACUGGGACUGAGACACGGCCCAGACUCCUACGGGAGGCAGCAGUGGGGAAUAUUGGACAAUGGGCGAAAGCCUGAUCCAGCAAUACCGCGUGUGUGAAGAAGGCUCUCGGGUCGUAAAGCACUUUUAGCAAAGAAGAAAUGCCCAAGGCUAAUACCCUUGGGAAAUGACGUUAUUUGCAGAAAAAGCACCGGCUAACUCUGUGCCAGCAGCCGCGGUAAGAC
rnacentral:rRNA from 1 species